GGGUGCGCAACGCGUAUACAAUCUGCCCCCUACAGUUGGGAUAGCCCAGAGAAAUUUGGAUUAAUACCACAUGGUACCAUAUUACGGCAUCGUAUUUAUGGUUAAAGGUUACGGUAGGGUAUGAGUAUGCGUCCCAUUAGUUAGUUGGUNAGGUANCGGCUCACCAAGACCGCGAUGGGUAGGGUCCCUGAGAGGGGUAUNCNNNACACUGGUACUGAGACACGGACCAGUCUCCUACGGGAGGCAGCANUGAGGAAUAUUGGACAAUGGGCGGGANCCUGAUCCAGCCAUGCCGCGUGCAGGAAGAAUGCCCUAUGGGUAGUAAACUNCUUUUAUACGGGAAGAAAAAGGGCUACGUGUAGCCUACUGACGGUACCGUAAGAAUAAGGACCGGCUANCUCCGUGCCAGCANCCNCGGNNAUNCGGAGGGUCCUAGCGUUAUCCGGAAUUAUUGGGUUUAAAGGGUCCGUAGGCGGGCCGAUAAGUCAGGGGUGAAAGUUUGCAGCUCAACUGUAAAAUUGCCUUUGAUACUGUCGGUCUUGAGUUAUAGUGAAGUUGCCGGAAUAUGUAGUGUAGCGGUGAAAUGCAUAGAUAUUACAUAGAACACCGAUUGCGAAGGCAGGUGACUAACUAUAUACUGACGCUGAUGGACUAAAGCGUGGGGAGCGAACAGGAUUAGAUACCCUGGUAGUCCNCGCCGUAAACGAUGGAUACUAGCUGUCCGGGUUCUUGAGCCUGGNCGGCCAAGCGAAAGUGAUAAGUAUCCCACCUGGGGAGUACGUUCGCAAGAAUGAAACUCAAAGGAAUUGACGGGNNCCCGCACAAGCGGUGGAGCAUGUGGUUUAAUUCGAUGAUACGCGAGGAACCUUACCAGGGCUUAAAUGCAUAUUGNCAGGGGUAGAGAUACCNNNUCCUUCGGGCAAUUUGCAAGGUGCUGCAUGGUUGUCGUCAGCUCGUGCCGUGAGGUGUUAGGUUAAGUCCUAUAACGAGCGCAACCCCUACCGUUAGUUGCCAGCGAGUNAUGUCGGGGACUCUAACGGGACUGCCGGUGCAAACCGUGAGGAAGGUGGGGACGACGUCAAAUCAUCACGGCCCUUACGUCCUGGNCNACACACGUGCUACAAUGGCCGGUACAGCGGGNAGCCAUGCGGCAACGCAGAGCGGAUCCACAAAACCGGUCACAGUUCGGAUCGGGGUCUGCANCUCGACCCCGUGAAGCUGGAAUCGCUAGUAAUCGGAUAUCAGCCAUGAUCCGGUGAA
rnacentral:rRNA from 1 species